rnacentral:rRNA from 1 species
UGGGGAAUAUUGCACAAUGGGCGCAAGCCUGAUGCAGCCAUGCCGCGUGUGUGAAGAAGGCCUUCGGGUUGUAAAGCACUUUCAGCGGGGAGGAAGGGAGUAAAGUUAAUACCUUUGCUCAUUGACGUUACCCGCAGAAGAGGCACCGGCUAACUCCGUGCCAGCAGCCGCGGUAAUACGGAGGGUGCAAGCGUUAAUCGGAAUUACUGGGCGUAAAGCGCACGCAGGCGGUUUGUUAAGUCAGAUGUGAAAUCCCCGGGCUCAACCUGGGAACUGCAUCUGAUACUGGCAAGCUUGAGUCUCGUAGAGGGGGGUAGAAUUCCAGGUGUAGCGGUGAAAUGCGUAGAGAUCUGGAGGAAUACCGGUGGCGAAGGCGGCCCCCUGGACGAAGACUGACGCUCAGGUGCGAAAGCGUGGGGAGCAAACAGG